rnacentral:rRNA from 1 species
AACGCAGCGAAGGGCGAUAAGUAAUGUGAAUUGCAGAAUUCAGUGAAUCAUCGAAUCUUUGAACGCACCUUGCGCUCCUUGGUAUUCCGAGGAGCAUGCCUGUUUGAGUGUCAUUUUAAACUCUCAAACCACGUCGUUCGUUCGAUGUGGCUUUGGAUGGUGGGGGUUUGCAGGCUUUUUCUUCUGAAGGCGUCUGCUCCCCCUGAAAUGCAUUAGUGGCGUCUGGAGUGGAAACCGCUAGGUGUGAUAAAAAAAUAUCAUCUAUGCCUUCCGCAUGAAACAGAUCGUGCUGCUUCAAACGCAAACAAUUGUUGACAAACUUGACCUCAAAUCAGGUAGGACUACCCGCUGAACUUAA